GCUAAGGAGGCUUCUAGCCUCAGUGUCAAAAAGAACAUGGAUUACAAAUAGUAGUUUUCAUUAAAAUGUGAAAUUUUGAGAUACUUUGUAAAACUAUACUUGUUUUUCUUAUUCUUUCAAACAUACAAGAAACUUAUAAGACUUUUAAUUAAAGAAAAAACAAGAAACUUGUACUUUUGAUACUUGGAAGAAAUUUUAAAGUAUAAUUAUAUCAAUUUGGUAUUCUUUACAAUUUGAUAGUACAGCAUCUAUUUUUGUGCUUUUAGUAAUGUAUGCAGUGUUGAAAGCAUUGAAGUUGCAUAAACUAAAAAAUAUGUGAAAUGCGUUCUACAUUUAUUCUGUUGUUUUCUUAUACCAAAUGGAAAUUUUUCUAGUGCUAUAUUGCUGGAUGUUGCCUUUUAGUCAUUUAAAAACAAAUUUAGAAAUAAAUGUUAUGUUUUUUUAAGACACAAUAUUUAAAUUCAUAAUUCUGGUUGAAUGGAGCUCAUAAUCAGGAAUAAUUGAAGGCAACAGAACAACACUAACAUGUAACUUCCAUAUCAUCUGAAAUAUAAUAUUAUUAAUUUUGUUGGUUGAUCCCAAAACACUUUAUGUAAUUUUUCAUAGGAUCAUUAUUUCUUGUUUUGAAAAGAAAUUGCCUUAGCUUUGUUUUGACAUUGACUUUGAAAUAACUUAAAUAACUUGUAAACUUUUUGUAACACUUGUGAGUUGGAAGCAACUCCUAUUUUAUCCCAUUUUAAUUUAUGUCAUCUAAUUAAAAAAUUCAUGUUGAUGUCUUAUCUACUAAACUUCAAGCAAUUAUAAAUUGAUGCUGUGUAAUAGUUGUUAAUUUUUGAGUUUUUUGAUGCAUCAGAUAUAGUUGUAAGCCUACAAAAGGCAGUAGCUCAUAUAAUCCUAAUCACUCUAGCAGGCAGGAACUAUUUAUUAUCAUUUUACAGUUAUUUUUAUUUUGCACUUGAGUAAACUAAGGAAUCCAAAUACUUUUCUAGUAUUACGGCUACUAGUUGUGGUAAAGUCAGGGCAUAAGUCAGGCAAUAUAGAUGGAGAAUUUAGCACUUUUAACCAUUAUGCUGUUGUGUGUAACCAUGGAAAACUUAGUUUCAAAGCACAGAAUGCCCACAUUAACCAUAUAGAAGAUGAAGAAAUUUGUAUAUCUGUUUUGUAAAACACGUUAUAUGCUUUUAUUAGGUGAAAAUAUGCAUUUAAGGAACUCAGAUAUUUAUAUUAUAUAGCUAUUAACAGAGACUGCUCAUUUAAAUAAAAUUCACUAUUGAUUCCUAUUAAGGAAGUCAUAUGUUCUUCCUGAAAUUAUUUCUUCUGUAAAUUCCAUGUGUUUACAGAUUUUCGAAAUAUUUCUAGAAUUCUUCUAGUUCUAAUAUUUUAUGAAUUUAUAAUUCUCUUUUAAUCUUAAUUCCUGAUUUUAAUGACAUAAAAUAGAUCAAAUAAUUUAAUCCUUUUUUCUGAACUCAUGUUUAUGGAGAGGGUUCUGCUUCUUACAAUUUAUAGUGUUUAGCUGAGUGCAGUAGUGCAGGCUUAUAAUCCCAAAGGCUCAGGAGGCUGAGGCAGGAGGAUUGAAAGUUCAAAGUCAGUCUCAGCAAUUUAGUGAGGCCCUAAGCAACUUAGCAAGACCUUGUCUCAAAAUAAAGUAUAAAAAAGGGUUUGGGAUGUGGCUCAGUGGUUAAGUUCCUGUGAGUUCAGUUCCUGGUACCCGCCCCGCCCCAAAUGUUGUCAUUUUCAUUCCACUCAAAUAAAGUUUAAUUUUCCUUUUUCUCUUUUAAAAAACAAUUUUAUUUCAUAAUAUAUAUUCAUUGUACAAAAUAAUGUUUUCCUUUGUGAAGUUUUUAUAUAUGCAUAUAAUGUACUUUGAACAUACCCACCCUCCCUA
rnacentral:lncRNA from 1 species